rnacentral:rRNA from 1 species
AUUGAACGCUGGCGGCACGCCUAACACAUGCAAGUCGAGCGGUAGCAUGAUCUGUAGCAAUACAGAUUGAUGACGAGCGGCGGACGGGUGAGGAACACGUAGGAACUUGCCCAAUAGAGGGGGAUAACUAAGGGAAACUUUAGCUAAUACCGCAUAUUCUCGAGAGAGGAAAGCUGCCCGCAAGGGUGGCGCUAUUGGAGAGGCCUGCGUCCGAUUAGCUAGUUGGUGAGGUGAAGGCUCACCAAGGCGAUGAUCGGUAACUGGUCUUAGAGGACGACCAGGCACACGGGGACUGGGACACGGCCCAGACGCGUACGGGAGGCAGCAGUGGGGAAGGUUGGACAAUGGGGGCAACCCUGAUCCAGCGAUGCCGCGUGAGUGAAGAAGGCCUUCGGGUCGUAAAGCUCUUUAGGUUGGGAGGAAGGUUAGUAUUUUAAGAGAUAACUAAUUUGACUGUACCGACAGAAUAAGCACCGGCAAACUCUGUGCCAGCAGCCGCAGUAAUAC